GACAAUGCAGGAGAGCUGUAUGCAUGGGAGUUAGCCAGAUGCUAGAACAUCUGGCAGCAGCAUUCUUCAGAAGUGGAGAGAAUUGCAAUUCUCUGUCUUUUAGGGACUAUCAAAAAUACCCUGGCGAUGUGGCUUCAGGAGGAAUUCUAGAGAGAAGUGGCCACAUUAGAGUCUGCCUUAGAAAAGAAAAUCAUGGACACAGCACGGUGUACCUGUGGCUGUCAGAGGACAACUUGCUGGAGCUGGUUCUCUCCAUCAUUUGGGUUCCAGAGGUCAAACUCAGGUCAUCAUGCUUGGUAGCAAGUACCCUUGUGGCUGAGUCAUCUCACUGGCUCCUGGGCCAUUUUUGUAGAAAGUUAUUUGAAAGAAGUUUGAUAAAAAAGUAGCUAUUUUAAUAGACUGUAAGUAGUGAGGAUGGUCUAUAGUAAAAAAAGUGAAAAAA
rnacentral:lncRNA from 1 species